UGGGGAAUAUUGGACAAUGGGCGCAAGCCUGAUCCAGCCAUGCCGCGUGGGUGAUGAAGGCCCUAGGGUUGUAAAGCCCUUUCGGCGGGGAAGAUAAUGACGGUACCCGCCGAAGAAGCCCCGGCUAACUUCGUGCCAGCAGCCGCGGUAAUACGAAGGGGGCUAGCGUUGCUCGGAAUUACUGGGCGUAAAGCGCACGUAGGCGGAUAUUUAAGUCAGGGGUGAAAUCCCAGAGCUCAACUCUGGAACUGCCUUUGAUACUGGGUAUCUUGAGUAUGGAAGAGGUAAGUGGAAUUGCGAGUGUAGAGGUGAAAUUCGUAGAUAUUCGCAGGAACACCAGUGGCGAAGGCGGCUUACUGGUCCAUUACUGACGCUGAGGUGCGAAAGCGUGGGGAGCAAAC
rnacentral:rRNA from 1 species